UGCAGCCAAAAACUCGGAGGACCUAUCUGAGGGUUCCAGUGCACAAGUUUUAUCAAGGAGUACCAGUCCAAAUGGCAUUUCCAUUUUCCAAGGUCUUAUAGAGAGGGUGAGAAGGACGGUUCGUGGGUCAGCGGAUGAUAUUGGAUGGCUACAACGUGCUUCACAUAUGCCUCCGGUUGAUGAUCAAACUGAUAGAUUUGUGGAAAUCAUUGAUGAUAUUAGGCAUGGACUACAUGGAUUACCAAAUUCAAUGGUUUACUUGUUAGUUCCAGGUCUCUUCAGCAAUCAUGGACCGCUUUACUUUGUCAAUACAAAAACAAGCUUUUCAAAAAUGGGGCUCACUUGUCAUAUAGCCAAAAUUCAUAGUGAGGUAUAGGCCUGUGUGGAGAAGAAUGCGAGAGAAAUUAAAGAUUACAUUGAAGAA
rnacentral:misc_RNA from 1 species